rnacentral:rRNA from 1 species
CCCUUAGAUGUUCUGGGCUGCACCCGUGCUACACUGGCAGGUUCAGCGAGCUUCAUGCCCUGAUCUGAAAGGAAUGGGAAAUCUUUUCAAAACCUGCCGUGCUUGGGAUAGAUGUUUGCAAUUAUUCAUCUUCAACGAGGAUUGCCUUGUAAGCGCACGUCAUCAGCGUGCAUUGAAUACGACCCUGUAUUCUGUACACACCGCUCGUCGCUCCUACCGAUUGAAGUUUUCGGUGAGUUGACAGGAGGAUUUUUUUGAAACUGGUUCGCCAGUGGAUUUUAGAUCCAAAUGCCAACGAAUCGAUGGCUUUAGAGGAAGGAGAAGUCGUAACA